rnacentral:rRNA from 1 species
AGGGUGCAGGGCGGAUGCCUUGGCACUAGGAGCCGAUGAAGGACGUGAUAAGCUGCGAUAAGCUUCGGGGAGUUGCACGUAAACUUUGAUCCGAAGAUUUCCGAAUGAGGAAACUCACUUAGAGUAAUGUCUAAGUAUCAUUAAGUGAAUACAUAGCUUAAUGAGGGGAACUCAGGGAACUGAAACAUCUAAGUACCUGAAGGAAGAGAAAGAAAUUCGAUUCCGUAAGUAGCGGCGAGCGAACGCGGAUUAGCCCAAACCAAUAAAGUUUUCUUUAUUGGGGUUGCGGACAUAUCAUAACGAAGAGGUAUCGUAAUUGAAGAGGUUUGGAAAGACCCACCACAGAAGGUAAUAGUCCUGUAUGUUAAACGAGAAGACUUCAGAUAUGAUCCAGAGUACCACGGGACACGUGAAACCCUGUGGGAAGCAGGAGGGACCACCCUCCAAGGCUAAAUACUACCUAGUGACCGAUAGCGUAUAGUACCGUGAGGGAAAGGUGAAAAGAACCCCGGGAGGGGAGUGAAAUAGAACCUGAAACCCUGCACUUACAAGCUGUGGAAGCACAUUUCUUGUGUGACCGCGUACUUUUUGUAGAACGGGCCAACGAGUUACGUUAAGUAGCAAGGUUAAGCACUUAAGGUGCGGAGCCGUAGCGAAAGCGAGUUUUAACUGAGCGUUCAGUUACUUGACGUAGACCCGAAACCGGGCGACCUACCCAUGAGCAGGAUGAAGCGAAAGUAAAAUUUCGUGGAGGUCCGAACCCACGAGCGUUGAAAAGCUCGGGGAUGACUUGUGGGUAGCGGUGAAAUUCCAAUCGAGCCCGGAGAUAGCUGGUUCUCCCCGAAAUAGCUUUAGGGCUAGCCUCAAGGUGAGAGAUACGGAGGUAGAGCACUGAAUGUCCUAGGGGGUAUUGCACCUACCGAAGACUAUCAAACUCCGAAUGCCGUCAUCUUAUACUUGGGAGUCAGACUGUGGGUGAUAAGAUUCAUAGUCGAAAGGGCAACAGCCCAGAUCGUCAGCUAAGGUCCCUAAAUGUAAGUUAAGUGGUAAAGGAUGUGGGAUUGCACAGACAACCAGGAUGUUGGCUUAGAAGCAGCCACUCAUUCAAAGAGUGCGUAAUAGCUCACUGGUCGAGUGAUCCUGCGCCGAAGAUUUCCGGGGCUAAAACUUACUACCGAAGCUACGGCAUCAGUAAUGAUGGGUAGGGGAGCUUCCCAUACGGGUUGAAGCAUGACCGUAAGGACAUGUGGACAGUAUGGGAGUGAGAAUGUUGGCAUGAGUAGCGAGAUGUGGGUGAGAAUCCCACAGGCCGUAAACCCAAGGUUUCCAGGGGAAGGUUCGUCCGCCCUGGGUUAGUCGGGACCUAAGCUGAGGCCGAAAGGCGUAGGUGAUGGACAACAGGUUGAUAUUCCUGUACUACCGAUAACCGUUUGAGAGAAGGGAUGACACAGUAGGAUAAGCUAAGCACACUGUUGGUUAUGUGUGCCCAAGCAUUGAGGCAGUCAAAGUAGGCAAAUCCGCUUUGAUAAUGCUGGGAUGUGAUGGGGAGCGAAAUUUAGUAGCGAAGUAGCUGAUUUCACACUGUCAAGAAAAGUCUCUAUCGAGGUUAAAGGUACCCGUACCGCAAACCGACACAGGUGGGUGAGGAGAGUAUCCUAAGGCCAGCGAGAGAACUGUUGUUAAGGAACUCGGCAAAAUGACCCCGUAACUUAGGGAUAAGGGGUGCCACCAUCAGGUGGCCGCAGAGAAUAGGCCCAAGCGACUGUUUACCAAAAACAUAGGUUUCUGCUAAGUCGCAAGACGAUGUAUAGGAGCUGACGCCUGCCCGGUGCUGGAAGGUUAAGGGGAUCUGUUAGAGCAAUCGAAGCAGUGAACUUAAGCCCCAGUAAACGGCGGCCGUAACUAUAACGGUCCUAAGGUAGCGAAAUUCCUUGUCGGGUAAGUUCCGACCCGCACGAAAGGCGUAACGAUUUGGGCACUGUCUCAACAACAGACUCGGUGAAAUUGUAAUUCCGGUGAAGAUGCCGGAUACCUGCGACAGGACGGAAAGACCCCAUGGAGCUUUACUGUAGCUUGACAUUGGGUCUUGGUACUACAUGUACAGGAUAGGUGGGAGGCUUUGAAACCAGGACGCCAGUUUUGGCGGAGCCAUCCUUGGGAUACCACCCUUGUAGUACUGGGACUCUAACCAUAGGCCAUGAAUCUGGUCUUGGGACACUGUCAGGUGGGCAGUUUGACUGGGGCGGUCGCCUCCCAAAAGGUAACGGAGGCGCUCAAAGGUUCUCUCAGUACGGUCGGAAAUCGUACGUAGAGUGUAAAGGCAAAAGAGAGCUUGAUUGCAAGACAUACAGGUCGAGCAAGGAUGAAAAUCGGACUUAGUGAUCCGGUGGUUCUGCGUGGAAGGGCCAUCGCUCAACGGAUAAAAGCUACCCUGGGGAUAACAGGCUUAUCUCCCCCAAGAGUCCACAUCGA